ensembl:lncRNA
GUGAGGAGCACGUCAUUUAGGGCCCCCAAAAAUGGCUAGAAUAUACAAUAUACAAAUACAAAAUAUAUGCCCAAAUAUAUAUAAAAAUCUCUGACACAAAUACAGAAAACCCUUUAUAUUCAAACUAAAGGCAACAACAGCCAUUUAAAAAUCACAAUAUUAAAGUGCAAUAAAAGCCAGAAAACAAUGUUUUUGUGCCUCAGCAUGAAAAGGUUAAAUCAAAACAUUACACAAGCCAUGCAUGGGUCAGUGAAAAAUACACAGGUCAGCCUUAGAAUUGGAUUCAUUUAUGUUUAAUGGAGAUUUUGCUUUGAAAAACAUCUUUACAGUAGAGCUACACUUUUCUGAACCAGUGCUGUGAGUUAAAUCUGAAUCAUUGCAAUAUUGGUUAUAUGAACAGUGAACCUUCGGCUGUUAUCGACACAAAUUAUUGCAGUUAUUAGCAAGGGAUGCUGCACUAUACUCUGCUGUAUUGUAGUAAGAAACAGUGAAAUACUGUUGUCUGUAGUAUUGGCUGCACUCUGCAGUGGGACCUUAAUGAUCUUUCAAGGUGAAGAAAUGAGCAUGAACUGCCUCAUUAGCUGACAGAUGGUGAUUGUUUUGUGCGCAGCAGUAAAGAGGGCAUGAUGCCUGCUUGCUAAAGGCUAAAGGACCAUUAUGGCUGUCUCAGCAUUGUAUGGGUCACAUGAUCUCCUGAGGCUCAAACAAUUCCCUUCCUCCUGCAGCCGCUCUGUGAAAAACAAAACAAAUGGGACGGUUCUCAGAAUGAAUCAGCGGAUCAAGCGAGCUGACUCUGGAAUGUGAUGUGUGACACAGGACCUGCAACUGUAAUCAUUUUUUGGCUUAAGCUGCAAUAUUGGAUUGAGCCGAAGGCUGCAGGCUUGAUUUAUACACAGAGGUGCAGGCCUCUUUCUGCCAUGCAUGGGGGCGGAGCUGUGCGCCUUCGUCGUGACCUGCGUGACUCACUGCCUUAUGAAGCCCAGAUGAUGUCCUAUCCCACUGCUGACUUCAAGGGGCGGGGUAAUGAGCUGUACUACCAGCCAGAGGCGGUGAGGGCGCAGGGGCUGGGUCAGGCCCUCCAAAGGCUGAUGGAGAACGACCAGCGGCGGGAGCAGGAAGCAGCGUAUCUGGCAGGUCUACUGCGCCUCCUGAAUGAGGCGGAGAAUAAUGGCCAAGGGAAACAGGAGGAAGAGGAGGAGGAAGAGGAAGGAGACUUCCAGGGGCCAUACCCGCCAGACUAUGAUGAGACGGAGCAGACGGUCAGCAUGGCUAAGCCACAGGCCCUGCUGGACCCCCAGCUGGCCGAGGCUCUGCUCAACCGCUACAGACAGGAGAGGCUGCUUCAGGCUGGGCUUAACCCAACCUCCAACCGCCUCCCAGACAGAGAGCAGGAGAGGGACCAGGAGGUGCUCCGGUACCUGGUUGAGAAAAUUCUCUCCAGUCUGGCUCCAGGGAACCAGCCGAGCCCCUCCAACCGCCGAGCCAAACGGGACGUGAGUGCGGUGGCCAGCGUCGGACGGGGUGGAGCUUCCUUGAGACGAUCCAGACGCUCUGUGGACUCCGUCCCCGUCCCCUCGCCCAGCGCUGAGGCCUCACUGCUGCGGGUGAAGAGGCUGGGUGAUGAAGAGGAUGAUGAAGGUUUUGCUGCCCAGAGCAACAGAUCACCCCACGCUGGGCUGCAGAGGAUGAAACGCAUCGACACAGACAUGCCGCUCCCUCUGAAACACAGCCGCAAACGCCGGGCGGUGUCCUAUGACCCCAGUGUCAUCGCUCAGCACAUCCUACAGUACCUACCAGCAUAA